CGCGCCCCUCUUCUCAACAUCUCAAUCUUCAUUUACCCAUCAACUUCUACUGUAGAUACCUUCAUCUACGGUGGCUGCUACCAGACCCAAAGCCCAUCUCAGACCCACCACUAACCCUAUAUUUACAUCGGCAACGACUUAGAUCUCCAGAUCUGACAAAAUUGAUUCUAUUAGAACCAUCUCCGACUCAUCCUCUUCGCCGAUUGAUGGCACUUGGGCCCGCCGUGACCCACCACCAACCCUAGAUGCUUGGGUUCAACGUGGAAGCCAAGAGGAAGAGCUAGCCUUCGUU
rnacentral:lncRNA from 1 species